GCCCUGGUAUGUGCGGUGGUAAAAAAGCGCCUCUGGAAAGGGUGAGACGCGAGUUAAACUCCCGCCCAAGGUU